rnacentral:lncRNA from 1 species
CCCGCGGCCGAGGGGCGGGACCGGCUCGGCUCCCCCGGCGCCGCAGCCCGCAGCCCCCUCCCCUCGCCUCCUCGCCGCUGGCGGCCACCGCGUCGCUCCGGCCCGGGCCCCACCCCAGGCGACUCUGUGAGGAGCGGCCGGAGGCCGGAGGCGGAGGUGCAAGAUGGACAACAAGAGAGACAAGGCGAAGGCAGGGGCCGCCGCGCGGACGCCGGCUGCUCGCGCUCCUGGACUUCUGACCCCCAGGCCCCCAGGCUCUCCUCGACCCCCUCCCCCAGUAACUCCCGCAGCCCUCCGAGUUCUGGGAGCUGCGGGAGCAGUGGGGCGAAAGCCUCUGGCAGAGCGAGCGGGGGGCAUCGGCGGGGCCACUAUUCCCGAGUCUGCUCCCCGAGCGGGACCAACGCGGAGUGCUGGGACAAGUUCCCGAAACCCUCCUCCAGGCCCCCAGCCUCUGGGAGAGGGGAGAGAGCUCCUCCUGCCAAGAACACCAGCCCAGGCCCUGUUUCUAGCCCAGGGCGUGCCAGCGGGACCACCAGGCCAGGCCCUCUUGGCCAGAAGGGACUCCGGAUCUCAGCGGAGGAAACUGUGGCCAGAGGAAAAGCUACAGAGGCUCCCAAAAGGAGUGCCCUCAGCGCUGGGGCACGGAGAGACACUUCCGGGCCUACCCCAGGAACCCCGUCCCCGGCCAUGGCCCGUCGGUCCCGGGCUGCGGGCACCGAGGUGGGGCUCCCCCGGCCAGCUCCGAGUGCCCGGCCACGGCCCCCGACAGAGGGCCCCCGGAAAUCAGUGAGCAGCGCCUCGGAGCACAGUACCACCGAGCCAAGCCCGGCUGCCAGGAGGCGGCCCAGCGCCGGUGGGGGUCUCCAGAGGCCGGCCUCGCGCUCCCUGAGCUCCAGCGCCACCCCUCUCUCCUCCCCAGCCCGUUCUGGGCCCUCAGCCCGCGGAACACCCAGGGCUCCUGCGCAUCCCUCGCAGCCCAAGCCGAAAGGACUGCAGGCUCUGCGACCCCCUCAGGUCACACCCCCAAGGAAGGACGCAGCCCCAGCACUAGGACCGCUUUCUUCCUCUCCUUUGGCCACACCCUCUCCAUCGGGUACCAAGGCAAGACCCCACGCUGAGCGGCCCAGACCUGGCCGGCCACAGCAGCAGCGCCACGAGCACGCCAGAGGAGCUGCGUGGCUACGACAGCGGGCCCGAGGGCGGUGCCGCAGCCUCCCCGCCCCCCGACGCAGAGCUCGCCGCUUGCCACCCGGCUGCCUGGAGUCGAGGCCCCGCUCCGCCGCUGGCUUUCCGCGGAGCCCCAGGUGCGCCCCUGCCGUGGCCUCCCGCUACCGGACCGGGCUCUGCUGACGGUCUGUGCACCAUCUACGAGACUGAAGGGCCCGAGUCGGCGACCCCCGCCCCUGGCGCACUGGAUCCGGGGCCCAGUCCCGGCACGAGCGGUGGGAAGGCGGCGGCUGGGGCCGGGGCCGGGGCGUCCUCGCGGAGCCCGAAGCAGGCGCGCCUGGGCGAGCUGCCACUGGGGGCGCUGCAGGCGAGCGUCGUGCAGCACCUGCUGAGCCGGACGCUGCUGCUGGCGGCUGCCGAGGGUGCCGCGGGCGGCAGCGGCGGGGGCCCAGGAGGUGCGGAGGGUGGUGGCGUCACAGGGGGCGCCCGGGCUGCACUCAGCGACGCCGAACUCGGCCGCUGGGCCGAACUACUGUCUCCCCUGGACGAGUCCCGUGCCAGCAUCACCUCGGUCACCAGCUUCUCUCCGGACGACGUGGCCUCCCCGCAGGGUGACUGGACCGUGGUGGAGGUGGAGACCUUCCACUGAGCCAGACCACAGCCCCGCCUGCUACACCCCACCCCUGCCUUAGGAUCCGCCCCUCCGGGUACGCCGUUUGUUUUAGACCCCGCCUCCACUGCCCUGGAGCCCCGCUGGGUGGAUUAGUCUUAGCUCCCUAGAGCCUGAGCCUUUGGCCUCGGAGGCUCGGGACCUACCCACAGCUUUGACCUAGGCCCGCCCCUCGAGCUCCGCCCCUUUGGCCUAGGACACGCCCCGUUUCCCCGAGUCCCGCCCCGUGUGCAGUGUAUUGCCCACCCCGCACAGCCUGAGUUUGCA